GGAUCAUAACGUAGAACACACAAUUUUAGUAUUAAGUAAAAAUGAAACAUAAAAUAAGUAAGGGAAAACAUACCAUUUUCCUUUCACGGCUCUCAAAUGUCAUUGCACCCGUGUUGUGUGUUGGUACCGCCAUAUCGUUGUUGUCCUUCAUAUUCUUUGAGUUUGUGUGUGAAAGGAACUGUGUCUCCUACAUACUCCAAUAUUAAAUGAAGCCUUUCCAAACUUCACCGUUUAAAUCCUUUGGCAGCUUCUUCACUUCUAUCCAGUUUUGCUUCCACUCGUACAAAUUGUUUUUGUAUAGGAGGCCAUUGUUUGGCUCAAGAACUCGGCACGUACGCGAUUCGUAUGUUUUGACUUCCAAUUGAAAUCUUGCUACGAAAUAAAAUUAGAAAACAUAUAUUAGACGAUGUCUAAGUAAAAGUAGUUUUAAUGAAAAACAAAAUAUAAUGUCUACUUACCACAAAGAUUUUGUACCAUGUCUCUUUCACAUCAUUUGGAAGGUGUGGAGAUUGCGGAUAUGGACUUGAA